rnacentral:rRNA from 1 species
ACUAACAAGGAUUCCCCUAGUAACUGCGAGUGAAGCGGGAAAAGCUCAAAUUUAAAAUCUGGCGGUCUCCGGCCGUCCGAGUUGUAAUCUAGAGAAGUGUUAUCCGCGCUGGACCGUGUACAAGUCUCCUGGAAUGGAGCGUCAUAGAGGGUGAGAAUCCCGUCUUUGACACGGACUGCCAGGGCUUUGUGAUGCGCUCUCAAAGAGUCGAGUUGUUUGGGAAUGCAGCUCAAAAUGGGUGGUAAAUUCCAUCUAAAGCUAAAUAUUGGCGAGAGACCGAUAGCGAACAAGUACCGUGAGGGAAAGAUGAAAAGAACUUUGGAAAGAGAGUUAAACAGUACGUGAAAUUGCUGAAAGGGAAACGCUUGAAGUCAGUCGCGUUGGCCGGGGAUCAACCUUGCUUUUGCUGGGCGUACUUUCCGGUUGACGGGUCAGCAUCAAUUUUGACCGUUGGAUAAAGUCUAGGGGAAUGUAGCAUCUUCGGAUGUGUUAUAGCCCUUGGUCGCAUACAGCGAUUGGGAUUGAGGAACUCAGCACGCCGCAAGGCCGGGUACUUGUACCACGUUCGUGCUUAGGAUGCUGGCAUAAUGGCUUUAAUCGACCCGUCUUGAAACACGGACCAAGGAGUCUAACAUGCCUGCGAGUGUUUGGGUGGAAAACUCGGACGCGUAAUGAAAGUGAAAGUUGAGAUCCCUGUCGUGGGGAGCAUCGACGCCCGGACCAGACCUUUUGUGACGGAUCCGCGGUAGAGCAUGUAUGUUGGGACCCGAAAGAUGGUGAACUAUGCCUGAAUAGGGUGAAGCCAGGGGAAACUCUGGUGGAGGCUCGUAGCGAUUCUGACGUGCAAAUCGAUCGUCAAAUUUGGGUAUAGGGGCGAAAGACUAAUCGAAC